rnacentral:lncRNA from 1 species
UCAGAAAUAUUCCUCUUCGCUGGAUUCUUUUGAGCAUUCUACCAUUCUAGCCUAGCCCCUACUCCAGAAUUAGGAGGGCAUUGACCCCCAACAGGUAUUUCUCCCCUUGACCCCCUGGAAGUACCUCUCCUGAAUCCAUCUGUAUUACUUGCAUCAGGAGUUUCAAUUACUUGAGCCCAUCACAGCCUAACAAAAAAUAAUCAAAAACAUACAAUCCAAGCACUACUUGUUACAAUUAUAUUAGAUAUUUACUUCACCCUCCUACAAGUCUCAGAAUACUUCAAAGCUCUCUUUGCUAUUUCUGAUGGUAUUUAUGGCUCAACAUUUUUUUAUAGCUACAGGCUUUCACAGAAUUCACGUCAUUAUUGGAUCAACAUUCCUCAGUCUGCCUUCUCCGCCAAUUAAAAUACCACUUUACAUCUAGUCAUCACUUUGCCUUUGAAGCCGCUGCCUGAUAUCGACACUUUGUAGAUGUAGUAUGACUAUUCUUGUAUGUUUCUAUUUAUUGAUGAGGAUCU